rnacentral:rRNA from 1 species
UACGUAGGUGCGAGCGUUGCCCGGUAUUUGAUUGGGCGUAAAGGGCGCGUAGGCGGCUCUGCACGUCCGUUGUGAAAUCGCCCCGGCUCAACUGGGCGGGGUCAGCGGAUACGGCGGAGCUUGAGCAAGCUAGGGGGCAAUGGAAUUCCCGGUGUAGUGGUGGAAUGCGUAGAUAUCGGGAGGAACACCAGUGGCGAAGGCGGUUGCCUGGGGCUUUGCUGACGCUGAUGCGCGAAAGCGUGGGGAGCGAGUCCGG